AUGUUGCACACUGAAUGCAGAUUUUUUUUUUCCUCAGAUGAUCAUACCCACUUUGCUUCACUUUCAUGUCCAGAGCUGCUUAGACUGAUUUUUGCAAAGUGCACAGGCAUUUUCAUGCUGAGGAUAAAAAGUUCAAGACUUCAGCAGAAAAAAAAUCACCUCAUUAAAGGAAAAUUGUGCCUUAUCCCCACUACUCGAAGAUGCAACCAUCUCCCUGGUCACAGCCACUUUUUUCCUUUUUUUCUGUAA
rnacentral:lncRNA from 1 species